CCGACGCUCCUGAACGCAACUCCGUUGUCCGACUGCAACUGAAUGCACCAAUGACGUUAGUUUGGUCUUUUGAUUGUAUUUCGUUUGGAUUUGAAGACGCUUUGAAGACGUUUCCUGAUGCCGGAGGAGAAGACGAGCAGCUUUGGACCUUUGCGAGUGAAAGUAGCAGUUCCUCCUGAAGGUCAGAGAUUGCAGCAUCUGAGGGCCUCUUCAAAAGAAGACGUAGUUGAUGAAGGCGUUCUGGAGCAGGACCAGAAAGACCACGACCAAGCAGCCUUGAGAUCUUAGGCAGCGUCUCCCUCUGGUCCCUCUCUAUCUCCCCACACAUCCACCAACCACUGGAACACAUCUCCAAAGUUCUGCUGGACCAGCUCAGCUUCCCCUCAGAAGAAGUGCUGCCACCUGCCAGAUGAAGGAGCCUUUUGAGAGACAGCUGGCAUCGUGAUUGGACUGUACUUUGGUCUGUUCCAAUCCAGCUUCAGCUCCAGAGACGGCAGGCGGGACGAGUCAACGGAGGCCGGGUGGACGAAGGCAUGAAGCUGAGUACAAUCCAGAAAACAACAGAGGAGGAGGAAACAAACAUAGUAGUAUAGUAUAAAAUAUACAUAGUAUAUUGUAUAAAUAACAAGUCAAAGGAAAGAGACAUACAUUGUAGAAUUGUAGUAAUUGUGGGCUGACUGAUUUACUGAUUAUCAGUAUUUUAUUUUUUACUGAGUUACGGUAAUAAAUACAUUUAAAAAUGGU